rnacentral:rRNA from 1 species
GGCAAAGGAUGUGCGUCCGCCCAGACAACCAGGAUGUUGGCUUAGAAGCAGCCAUCCAUUCAAAGAGUGCGUAACAGCUCACUGGUCGAGUGGACAUGCGCCGACAAUACACGGGGCUAAGCUGGACACCGAAGCGGCGGGAUUUUAAUUCAUUAGAAUCGGUAGGGGAGCUUCCCAUGGGCGGAGAAGCCGGAGGGCGACCGACGGUGGAGCGCAUGGGAGUGAGAAUGCUGGCAUGAGUAGCGAGAGACGAGAGAGUAACUCGUCCGCCGUGAACCCGAGGUUUCCUGGGCAAGGCUAAUCCUCCCAGGGUCAGUCGGGGGCUAAGGCGAGGCCGGGAGGCGUAGCCGACGCGCAGCAGGCAGACAUUCCUGCACCGCGCACGCGGCGCUACGACCGACGGGGCGACGGAUGGGGGUGGCUCGGCGGGGUUCUGGACGUCCCCGUGAUGGAGCGCGGCCCGCGGACCAGGGAAAUCCGGUCCGCAGAAGGGCGAGGCUCCGGACGAAGCGACUGAGCGAAGCGAGUGAGCCCGAGGUCCCUAGAAAAACCCCUAGGCAGGCGCGUGCGCGCCCGUACCGCAAACCGACACAGGUGGGUGGGUAGAACAUACCGAGGCGAUCGGGUCAACCAUGGUCAAGGAACUCGGCACAAUGGCCCCGUAACUUCGGGAGAAGGGGUGCCCGCGCGUACGUGAACGGACUUGCUCCGGGAGCGGAGGCGGGCCGCAGUGGAGAGGCCCAAGCGACUGUUUACCAAAAACACAGGACUCUGCAGAAGCCGCAAGGCGACGUAUAGGGUCUGACGCCUGCCCGGUGCCGGAAGGUCACGCGGAGGAGUUAGCGCAUCGCGCGAAGCCCCGAAGCCAAGCCCCGGUAAACGGCGGCCGUAACUAUAACGGUCCUAAGGUAGCGAAAUUCCUUGUCGGGUAAGUUCCGACCUGCACGAAAGGCGCAACGACUUGGGCGCUGUCUCGACCAUGGACCCGGUGAAAUUGCACUGGUCGUGAAGAUGCGACUUACCCGCGGAAGGACGGAAAGACCCCGUGAACCUUCACUGCAGCUUGGCAUUGGCCGCUGGUCCCGCGUGUAGAGGAUAGGCAGGAGGCAUCGAUCCGGAGGCGCCAGCCCCCGGGGAGCCGCCCUUGGAAUACUGCCCUCGCGCGACCGGCGUCCUAACCCGAGGCCGUCAACCGGCUCGGGGACCGUGCCAGGCGGGCAGUUUGACUGGGGCGGUCGCCUCCUAAAGGGUAACGGAGGCGCGCGAAGGUCCGCUCGGGACGGUCGGCAACCGUCCUUUUGAAUGCAAGAGUACAAGCGGGCUUGACUGCGAGGCCCACAAGCCGAGCAGGUGCGAAAGCAGGCUCUAGUGAUCCGGCGGCCCCGAGUGGGUGGGCCGUCGCUCAACGGAUAAAAGGUACUCCGGGGAUAACAGGCUGAUCUUGCCCAAGAGUCCACAUCGACGGCAAGGUUUGGCACCUCGAUGUCGGCUCAUCGCAUCCUGGGGCUGGAGCAGGUCCCAAGGGUACGGCUGUUCGCCGUUUAAAGCGGUACGCGAGCUGGGUUCAGAACGUCGUGAGACAGUUCGGUCCCUAUCCUCCGUGGGCGCAGGAGAAUCGAUGGAGGCUGCCCCCAGUACGAGAGGACCGGGGUGGACGCACCUCCGGUGAACCGGUUGUCGACCAACGGCACGGCCGGGUAGCCGCGUGCGGCGCGGAUAACCGCUGAAGGCAUCUAAGCGGGAAGCCGUUCCAGGGAUUAGUUCUCCUUCCGGUAAGGGCCCAGGUAGACUACCUGGUCGAUAGACGGCAGGUGCAAGGCUGGCGACAGCCUCAGCCGAGCCGCACUAAUCGCCCGAGCUCUUCCGGAA